UGUCACCAAAGUGUUGGGUUUGUGCUCUGCCUAUAGGCGAUGGUUACCGAACUUUUUGGCGGUAUGCAGUACUCGUGCCUCGGGAGGAUCCCUGGGAUGUCCCUCAAGUCACUGAAGCUUCUGCAGCUUCUCAGGGGCUGGAGCCUUUCCCUGAGCCUCAGGGAGACCGCAGGGAUGCAGGUGUAUGAGAUGGCACUGCAGCUUCUCAGCUGGGUGCCAGUUUUGAGACUCUGGGGAAUCCCGUAGGUCCUCAACGAAGAAAGUGUCAGGCCAGAACAGGCAUGUCUUCUCAGAAAUCUUUGGAAGUGCUAAGGAGAUCUUGAAGCACUGAGAGAGAGCAAAUGACGUUCCUGCACACAGAGCUCUUCCAGCUUCUCACCUGGAUCCUGUUUUGGAGCAUCAGAGG